GUGGGGAAUAUUGGACAAUGGGGGGAACCCUGAUCCAGCCAUGCCGCGUGUGUGAAGAAGGCCUUUUGGUUGUAAAGCACUUUAAGUGGGGAGGAGGCUUACCUAGUUAAUACCUGGGCUAAGUGGACGUUACCCACAGAAUAAGCACCGGCUAACUCUGUGCCAGCAGCCGCGGUAAUACAGAGGGUGCGAGCGUUAAUCGGAUUUACUGGGCGUAAAGCGCGCGUAGGUGGUUAAUUAAGUCAAAUGUGAAAUCCCCGAGCUUAACUUGGGAAUUGCAUUCGAUACUGGUUGGCUAGAGUAUGGGAGAGGAUGGUAGAAUUCCAGGUGUAGCGGUGAAAUGCGUAGAGAUCUGGAGGAAUACCGAUGGCGAAGGCAGCCAUCUGGCCUAAUACUGACACUGAGGUGCGAAAGCAUGGGGAGCAAACAGGAUUAGAUACCCUAGUAGUCC
rnacentral:rRNA from 1 species